UUUCAUUAGAAAUCAUUAAUGAUAUGAUCUGCUCCAUGAAAUUAAAUAGCCGCAUAAUAUGUGCUAAGGUAGCAUAAUAAUUUGUCUUUUAAAUGAAGACCAGAACAAAAGAUUGAACAUUCCAGUUAAUAUCUAUAAUUUUUUAAUUAAAAUUAUUUUAAGUAUAAAAAAAUACUUAUUAAUAAGAAAGACAACAAGACCCUAUUGAACUUUACUAAAGUUAAACUGGGGCAGUUAAUUAAUUAUUAUUUUAAUUUAAUUAAACUAAUAAAUCGAUCCAAUAUAAUUGACCAAUUAAUUUAGUUACCAUAGGGAUAACAGCAUAAUAAAUUUUUAAAGAUCUUAUAAUAAAAAAAGAUUAUGACCUCGAUGUUGAAUAAUAUUCUAAUUAAGCGCAAAAGCUUACAAAGAAAGUCUGUUCGACUUUUAAAAAAUUACA
rnacentral:rRNA from 1 species